rnacentral:tRNA from 1 species
GGUAUAUGGCUCAAGUGGUAGAGUGUCUGCUUACCAAGCAUGAGAUCCUGGGUUCAAAUCCCAAUAUUGCCA